ensembl:lncRNA
AUAGCAACCUGUUAUAGCUGCCAGGGCCAUUGUCUCUGUAGCACAGAAGGUCUAUUGCAGGUGCCUAGAGUUGCAACAACAUAAUAAUGCAUUUUGUCUUUCAAAGGGUAAAGACCUAGGAUUGAAAGUGGUUGACUGGGGAGACCAAUGAAGACUUCUGGCUAGUGAAAAGAUAGUCAUGCUGGUAAGUAUAAGAAGAAACCAUUGGAAAUAUUAUUUCUGGAUUGGCUGCUACACAUAUAAGUUGAUCACUUUACAUAACAUAGUUAAUGAGGAUUUUUAUUACCCGCCCCCCGACAUUUCUGUUGUUUCAAGAAGAGCAAGGAGAUCUAACCUGUCCAUCCUAAAGGAAAUCAGUCCUGGAUAUUCACUGGAAGGACUGUUGCUGAAGCUGAAACUCCAAUACUUCAGCCAACUGAUACAAAGAGCUGACUCAUUUGAAAAGACCCUGAAGCUGGGAAAGAUUGAGGGCAGGAGGAGAAGGGGACAACAGAGGAUGAGAUGGUUGGAUGGCAUCACCGACUUGAUGGACAUGAGUUUGAGUAAACUCUGGGAGUUGGUGAUGGACAGGGAGGUCUGGCGUGCUGCAGUCCAUGGGGUCUCAAAGAGCUGGACACGACUGAGCAAUUGAACUGAACCAAUUGUCACAUGUGGACAAUGACCCCAUUCUAAGAGGUUUUCCAUUGGCCUGUAAGCUCAUCACUGGUCCAGGUUUCCUUUUGUUGAGAGAAUGUAUAUCUUUGGUUAUAAUACUCGAAGUCAUUUUGGGCAUUCACAUAAACUUGAUUUUUUUUAACCCAAUACAUGAAAGAUCCCCCACUUUCUGGAGCGGAGAGUUGACAGCAUGCACCAGGAACCCUUUGUGGCAUCCUUCCAGCCAGAUCCAGUUCCUCCUUCUCUGGGGUGGGAUCCCAGAGCCCAUUAGGAUUUCAUCACUCUACCCCAUUCCUUCCAACUCACAGUUGAUGGGACCAGGGAUGAACCUGAUUUACACUGACCCAAAUGCUCCCCUCAUUGGGAGGUAGGGACAGGAUGAAGAAAUGAAGGAGACAAAGAAAAACUAAGUAGCAAAAAUUAUGACAUGAAGCGUAUGUACCUGAGAUUUAUUGUGGGAACUGAUAGUUCUGCAAGCCAGCCUGCAGAGAAAGGGCAUGGCAGGUCCGCCAGGGGAGCAGAGCAGAACCUUGGCAACAGAGGAGGCAAGUGUCCUUGCAGCCUCCAAGCUAUGCACUCCAGUCCCAAAGCAGGCCUUGUUGUUUUAGUUCUGCAUGCAUGCAUUAGUUGCUCAGUCGUGUCCAACUCUUUGCCUGACUUUCACCCGCCAGGCUCCUCUAUCCAUUUUUCAGGAUUUUUCAGGCAAGAAUACUGCAGUGGGUUGCCAUUUCUUCCUCCAGAGUCUUUAGUUCUGGAGGCCCUUAAGUCCUCAAUUGUGUCCAACUCUUUGCGAUCCUGUGGACUGUAGCCCACCAGGCUCCUCUAUCCAUGGGAUUCUCCAGGCAAGAAUACUGGAGUGGGUUGCCAUUCCCUUCUCCACGGGAUCUUCCUGACCCAGGGAUUGAACCCAGGUCUCCUGCAUCACAGGCAGAUUCUUUACCAUCUGAUCCACCAGGGAAGUCCUCUUUAGUUCUGGGGCCCUUAAAUCCAUGGAAUAAAACUGCCCUU